UGCGUAGGUGGCGCCGUAAGUCGGGUGUGAAAUUUCGGAGCUUAACUCCGAAACUGCAUUCGAUACUGCGGUGCUUGAGGACUGGAGAGGAGACUGGAAUUUACGGUGUAGCAGUGAAAUGCGUAGAGAUCGUAAGGAAGACCAGUGGCGAAGGCGGGUCUCUGGACAGUUCCUGACACUGAGGCACGAAGGCCAGGGAGCAAACG
rnacentral:rRNA from 1 species